rnacentral:rRNA from 1 species
AGAGUUUGAUCCUGGCUCAGAACGAACGCUGGCGGCGUGUUUAAGACAUGCAAGUCGCACGGGAUUAGUCUUGUAGUAAUACACGGCUGGUUCAGUGGCGCACGGGUGAGUAACACGUGAAUUACAUGCCCUUCAGUGGGGAAUAGCCCAGGGAAACUUGGAUUAAUACCCCAUGGUAUCGCAAGAUUAAAGGUGGCCGCAAGGCUGUCGCUGAAGGAUUGGUUCGCGCCCUAUCAGCUUGUUGGUGAGGUAACGGCUCACCAAGGCUACGACGGGUACCUGGUCUGAGAGGACGAUCAGGCACACUGGAACUGAGACACGGUCCAGACACCUACGGGUGGCAGCAGUCGAGAAUAAUUCACAAUGGGGGCAACCCUGAUGGUGCAACGCCGCGUGGAGGAUGAAGGUCUUCGGAUUGUAAACUCCUGUCAUCUGGGAGUAAGACCUGGCUGUGAAUGGCAGACAGGGUUGAUAGUACCAGAAGAGGAAGGGACGGCUAACUUCGUGCCAGCCGCCGCGGUAAUUC